ACCGGAUUUUAGACAGGGUGGAACGGCGGCUUGGGCCAGAGACUGGUUAAAAAUCUUCAUAAAGAUUCCUGCCAGUUGGUCCAAACAAUCUCUUAGCACCCUGCCAGCCACCCCAUCCGGGCCCAUAGCCUUCCUCGUGUUUACCUCCUUUCAUAUUCACCUCCUUCUUCCACCCUGGCAGCAUUUCCUGUAGGUAGUGAGGCCAAUAGCUCUGACAUCCCAGUUGGAGCCACCGUUGGUGUCACCUCAAAUCGGGCAAAGAAGGUCUUCAACUCUCCCACCAAGGAAGCAGUACUCUCUACCACUGAUGUAUUUCUUGAUUUAUAACCAGUCAGAUGUUGAACUCCCUGCCACAUUUGUCUAGUAUCAUUUCUUAGAUGGUCCUCAAUUUUUCCUCUGUACUCCGCUUUUGCUUUCCUGAUACCCCUCAUCAAGUUUGCUCUUUCUAUACCAUACGGUCCCCGGUCCCCAGUUCUAAAAGCAGUUUCUGGCCUUCAAGAAUCUCCUAACCUCUCCCGUCAUCCAGGGCUUCCUAUUCGGAUACAACUUAACAUACCUUUCCCUGGUGCAUUUCCUGUGCCAAAUCUAAGACCGUUGAUGUAGACGUUUCUAGAUCUUGAUGGUCGAACAUAUUCCAAUUGGUCUCCUGGAAACAGUCCUGCAACUGCUGAGAGGCUCCCUCAGGCCACACCGUAACCAUCCGUGUUUGUAGCUGGCCUUGUUUCCUGAGGGGUGUGUACACUGGUGUCAGAAGCAGGGACACAUGAUCUGAACCACCAAGGGGCGCCUCAUAUUCCUGUCCAAUGUUCGUAUACACCUUGUCAAGAGUAUUUUCUCCCCUUAUUGCAGACUCAAUGUGCUCAUGGGAUUUUGGGAGUGCUGCCCUCACAUCUGUGUGAGUGAAGUCCCCCACAAUAAUCUGCACUGGAUUGGAUUUGAUAUCCCGCCUUUCACUCCCUUUAAGGAGUCUCAAAGCAGCUAACAAUCUCCUUUCCCUUCCUCCCCCACAACAAACACUCUGUGAGGUAAGUGGGGCUGAGAGACUUCAGAGAAGUGUGACUGGCCCAAGGUCACCCAGCUGCUGCAUGUGGAGGAGCGGAGACGCGAACCCAGUUCCCCAGAUUACGAGACAACCGCUCUUAACCACUACACCACACUGGCUGCCUCCGGGUAUCUGUUCAAUUUAGCAUUGAUGUUUUCAUGCAUACUACUCAUGGCCCUGCAGGCAUUUGCAGGUGGUGCUACAUAAGAAAGCUGCAGAGAUAGUGCAGGAUAGUGUGCACCCCGGAAAUGAUCUCUUUCAGCUUCUGCCUUCUGGAAGAAGAUACAGGGUUAUAAAGACUAGGACUAGCCGCCUGAAAAACAGUUUCUAUCCAAAUGCAAUUUUGGUUUUAAAUACAGUGUAAGGUAGUCUCUAUGGGAGUAUAUUAUCUUUAAUUAUGGGGUAUCAGAGUUUUUAGGGGGCUAACCAGGUUGGGAUAGCUGGGAUAGCAGGCUUGUUGGUUUUUGAAUGUCUGAUGUACAUUUUUUCAAUUUCGUUGUUCUGUAUGGGACAAUGACAAUAAAAAUUAUCGUAUUGUAUUGA